AGUCCAUUAUCAUCAUGCCAAGAAGCAUGGCAGUGUCCUGGUGCAGAAGAAAGAGCCAAGAAUUCUCCAUCUUGAACUGAAGGCACAGACAGGAAGAAUGUCUCUUCCACACUGGGAGGAGCUUGAGCACCAGCAGCCCUCAAAGCCUGCCUACACAAUGAUAUACUUCUUCCAACAAGACAAUAUGGACCUACACUCACUGGGCACUAAAAUUCUCCUCAGACAGGAAAACCAACUGAUCUGAUAAAUGCUCCUAGGAAAAUAGCAAGAUAUAAAGUCAACACAAAAAGGUAUGACAACAACUUUUCUAUAUUUGCAUAAUGAACAUUCUGAGCAUAAAACUGGUCACAUUUACAGGAAUGUCAAAACAUAACCACUAGAAAUAAAUCUCACCAAGAAGGUAAAUGAUCUCAACAAUGAAAACCUUAAAACACUUCCAAAAGAAUUCAAAGACACGUGGUUUGUAAAUUGUUAUUUUGGGUAUUCUGAGUUUCUGGGCUAAUAUUCACUUAUCAGUGAGUGCAUAUCAUGGAUGUUCUUUUAUGAUUGGGCUAUCUCACUCAGAAUGAUAUCCUCCAGAUCCAUCCAUUUGCCUAAGAAUUUCAUAAAUGUAUCGUUUUUAAUAGCUGAGUAGUACAUUUUCUGUAUCCAUUCCUCUGUUGAGGGACAUUUAGGUUCUUUCCAGCUUCUGGCUAUUAUAAAUAAGGCUAUGAAUAUAGUGGAGCAUGUGUCCUUAUGACACGUUGGAGCAUCUUCUGGGCGCUCAGUAUUACUGGGUUCUCAGGUCCUAUGUCCAAUUUUCUGAGAAACCACCAAACUAAUGAAACUCAAGAACAAAGAACAAAGUGUGGAUACUUUAAUCCUUCUUAGAAGGGGGAACAAAACACCCAUGAAGGGACUUACAGAGACAACAUGUGGAGCAGAGACUGAGGGAAUGACCAUACAGAGUCGCACCUGAGGAUCCAUCCCAUAUACAGCCACCAAACUCAGACACUAUUGUGGAUGCCAACAACUGCUUGCUGACAGGAGCCUGAUAUAGCUGUCUCCUGAGAGGCUCUGCCAGUACCUGACAAAUACAAAAGUGGAUGCUCACAGCCAUCCAUGGGACCGAGCACAGGGUACCCAAUGAAGGAGCUAGAGAAAGGACCCAAAGAGUUGAGGGGGUUUGCAGCCCCAUAGGAUAAACAACAAUAUUAAUUAACCAGUACUCCCAGAGCUCCCAGAAACUAAACCACCAACCAAAGAGUACACAUGGUGGGACUCAUGGCUCCAGCUGCAUAUAUAGCAGAGGAUGUCCUAGUUGGACAUCAAUGGGAGAAGAGGCCCUUGGUCCUGUGAAGGCUCUAUGCCCCAGUGUAGGGGAAUGUCAGGGCCAGGAAGCAAGAGUGGGUGGGUUGGUGUAAAGGGGGAGCAGGAAGGUGAGGGGGAGGGUGUUUUGGAGGGGAAAACAGGAAAG
rnacentral:lncRNA from 1 species